CACAUCCAAACACUGAGGAGCAACAUGAUCAGAUUUGGCACGGUCAUCUCUGUCCUCUAUUCAACAUGUCUAUUUGGAUUUUCUCACAGUAAUCGUGUCACCCAGACUCCUCUUCACCUGAUCAGAAACCCUGCUGAAUCUGCUGUUAUUGAGUGUUCACACACUGUAUCAGGUUAUGAUCGGGUCGGCUGGUACAAACAAACCACGGACUCUCAAAGCUUUACUUUAAUUGGGUAUGUUUAUGCAAAGGCCACACCUAAUAAAGAAGCUGAAUUCCAGGAUAAAGUGGACAUCAGUGGAGAUGGAAACAAUGAUGUUACUCUAUCCAUCAAAGAUCUCUCAGCCUCAGACAGUGCAGUGUAUUUCUGCGCUGCGUAUUACACAGUGCUGCAGAGCUGCUCUACUGCAGUACAAAAACACAGACCUCGCUGA